rnacentral:tRNA from 1 species
ACAUUGAUGGUUCAGUGGUGGAAUUCUUGCCUUCCAUGCCGGAGGCCUGGGUUCGAUUCCUAGCCAGUGCA